UACAGAGGGUGCAAGCGUUAAUCGGAAUUACUGGGCGUAAAGCGCACGUAGGUGGCUUGAUAAGUUGGAUGUGAAAUCCCCGAGCUUAACUUGGGAAUUGCAUUCAAGACUGUCUUGCUAGAGUGUGGAAGAGGGAAGUGGAAUUCCAGGUGUAGCGGUGAAAUGCGUAGAUAUCGGAAGGAACAUCAGUGGCGAAGGCGGCCAUCUGGGACAACACUGACGCUGAAGCACGAAAGCGUGGGGAGCAAACAGG
rnacentral:rRNA from 1 species